UUAAAUUGAAGAGUUUGAUCAUGGCUCAGAUUGAACGCUGGCGGCAGGCCUAACACAUGCAAGUCGAGCGGAAACGAGUUAUCAGAACCUUCGGGGAACGAUAACGGCGUCGAGCGGCGGACGGGUGAGUAAUGCCGGUGAGUAAUGCC
rnacentral:rRNA from 1 species